UGGGAAUUUGGACAAUGGGCGAAGCUGAUCCAGCAAUGCCGCGUGUGUGAAGAAGGCCUUCGGGUUGUAAAGCACUUUUGUCCGGAAAGAAAUCCUUGGCUCUAAUACAGUCGGGGGAUGACGGUACCGGAAGAAUAAGCACCGGCUAACUACGUGCCAGCAGCCGCGGUAAUACGUAGGGUGCAAGCGUUAAUCGGAAUUACUGGGCGUAAAGCGUGCGCAGGCGGUUUGCUAAGACCGAUGUGAAAUCCCCGGGCUCAACCUGGGAACUGCAUUGGUGACUGGCAGGCUAGAGUAUGGCAGAGGGGGGUAGAAUUCCACGUGUAGCAGUGAAAUGCGUAGAGAUGUGGAGGAAUACCGAUGGCGAAGGCAGCCCUCUGGGCCAAUACUGACGCUCAUGCACGAAAGCGUGGGGAGCAAACNGGAUUAAUACCCUGGUAGUCCACGCCCUAAANGAUGUCAACUAGUUGUUGGGGAUUCAUUUCCUUAGUAACGUAGCUAACGCGUGAAGUUGACCGCCUGGGGAGUACGGUCGCAAGAUUAAAACUCAAAGAAUUGACGGGGUC
rnacentral:rRNA from 1 species